rnacentral:tRNA from 1 species
GGUGCCAUAGCUCAGCAGGUAGAGCAAAGGACUGAAAAUCCUUGUGUCCGCGGUUCGAUUCCACGUGGCACCA